rnacentral:rRNA from 1 species
UACGGAGGGUGCAAGCGUUAUUCGGAAUUACUGGGCGUAAAGCGCACGUAGGCGGUUUGUUAAGUCAGAUGUGAAAGCCCCGGGCUCAACCCGGGAACUGCCUUUGAGACUGGAAAGCUUGAGUCUUGUAGAGGGGGGUGGAAUUCCAGGUGUAGCGGUGAAAUGCGUAGAGAUCUGGAGGAACACCAGUGGCGAAGGCGGCCCCCUGGACAAAUACUGACGCUGAGGUGCGAAAGCGUGGGGAGCAAACAGG